rnacentral:lncRNA from 1 species
GGGGGAGAAUAGGGUGGGAGAAGAUUAAAAGAGGAAGAGGGAGAGAUGGGGCACCCAUCUUUCUUUCUUUCUUUCUUUCUUUCUUUCUUUCUUUCUUUCUUUCUUUCUUUCUUUCUUUCUUUCUUUCUUUCUUUCUUUCUUUCUUUCUUUCUUUCUUUCUUUCUUUCUUUCUUUCUUUCUUUCUUUCUUUCUUUCUUCCUUCCUUCCUUCCUUCCUUCCUUCCUUCCUUCCUUCCUUCCUUCCUUCCUUCCUUCCUUCCUUCCUUCCUUCCUUUCUCUCUCUUUCUUUCUUUUUCUCUUUCUCUCUCUCCCUUCCUUCCUUCCUUCCUUCCUUUCUCUCUCUCUCUCUCUCUCUCUCUCUCUCUCUCUCUCUUUCUUUCUUUCUUUCUUUCUUUCUUUCUUUCUUUCUUUCUUUCUUUCUUUCUUUCUUUCUUUCUUUCUUUCUUUCUUUCUUUCUUUCUUUCUUGUGAGUUAGGGGAUAUUUCCAAAGGGGUCAUUGCAUA